UACGGGGGGGGCAAGCGUUGUUCGGAAUUACUGGGCGUAAAGGGCUCGUAGGCGGCCAACUAAGUCAGACGUGAAAUCCCUCAGCUUAACUGGGGAACUGCGUCCGAUACUGGCGGGCUUGAAUCCGGGAGAGGGAUGCGGAAUUCCAGGUGUAGCGGUGAAAUGCGUAGAUAUCUGGAGGAACACCGGUGGCGAAGGCGGCAUCCUGGACCGGCAUUGACGCUGAGGCGCGAAAGCUAGGGGAGCAAACGGG
rnacentral:rRNA from 1 species